rnacentral:tRNA from 1 species
GCCUGGCUGGCUCAGUUGGCAGAGCAUGCAACUCUUGAUCUCAGGGUUAUGAGUUCAAGUCCCAUGUUGGGUG